CACAGCCACGCGGGCCGGGCCAGGGGGCGCCGGGCCUUUGGCCGCGUGCCCCUUCCCCCGGGAGCUAGAGCAGGAUCCGUGCGGCCUUUGGCCCUUUGGCCGCGUGCCCCCUGCAGCCCCGCCAACGACCCGCACGGGAACCUGGAGGGACCCGCACGGGAACCUGGAGGGCUGCCGCCACUGCUGGUGCGGACGGGGGCGGGGACCCUGCUGUGCCCGUGUCCGGAUCCCGGAUCCCGGGAAGGGGAACGGGUGUGGAGCCGGGCCACCCGGCGUCAAAGGGGGGGCCUUGAGCGUGAGGGGGUCUUGGGAGGCGGAGGGGUAGGGGCUGGGGAGGAGGCGGUGGCGGAGCUCACCAGGAGGAGCAGAGAGUCCGGGUCGGACAGGCCCCCGGUGGGAGCAGCAGCAGCACCAGCCAGCCGCGGCCUCCUCCUCCUCCUCCUCCUCCUCCUCCUCAGCCGGGCCCCGCGCCCCGUGCCCCGCGCCCCCCGCCCAAAACCCGGCCCGGGCCCACCAAGAGGCUGUUGCCUGACACGGGGGGGGGGGGGGGGGGGACACACACACCGGGCAGCGGCACUGCCACGUCCCGCGGCUUUCCCCUCUCUGGCGGAGGCCUGGUCCCAGUGCCCCCAUUUCCCUCUUCCCUCAGCCAAGUCGAGGCCAAGCCGCCGCCAUCACUCCCCCUCCACCCCGCGCCCCGGGCCAGCCAGGCCUCUCAGCUCGCCCCGUUCCCCUUUCUGGGCCACCUUCUCCAACGUCCCACCACAGCCCUCAGGGCAAGCACAGUCGAGGAACGGCUGGGUGACUCCCGCCCCUGCAUCCCAAAGCCAACGCCUGCUCCCGAGCUGGUCAUCAAGGGACCAGCGUGGAGCGCGUGCCAGAAGCGCCAGGCGCCUCGGGAUGGGACUGCCAACGGCCCCUUCGGUCCCGGUCCCGCCGGGACGCUGGGACUUCACCCCCGGGCCCGUCCUGCCCUGGAAGCCAGCGGGCGGCGGCUCCGGGGAUCGCCAACGCGUUCCGCUUGAUGGCAGUGUUGCACCGGCAAUGCCCACCGGCCCUUCCCCCAGGGCCUCUCCCUCCGCCCUUUGCCGAAGAAAAAAGGCCAAGCGCUGGCCGCCGGGGCUCCAACAUGGCGGCUCCCGUGCCUGGGCCGCUUUCGCUUUCGGGGAGCGCUUGGGUACUAUUAGCUGA
rnacentral:lncRNA from 1 species